rnacentral:piRNA from 1 species
UCCUAAGUCCACAAAUCUGGGCCUGUGA